AUGGCGGUUGUGGAAGGUAGUGGUGGCGGGGUGCGCGCUUGCAGCAGGGGCCAUGCCAGCUUUGAAAGGUGGGAGGUGGUGGUGGCAGGGCACACACCGGCGGUGGAGGCUGCUGCAGCUCUGGGAGUACCGGACCACCCCAGGCCAUUCAACGCCACCAACCCGGUCCGUUCAUUGCAGCAACACCCAGGAUCUGGCUACCACCAUGUCGUUCCCACAGUGAUGUUCGAUGGAGCACCUCGUCUCUCUCCUGCUGCAGGGAGGCCCACCUACUGCACUAUGGAGGUAGAGAUUAAAUAUCCCCCGAAGCACAUCGUCGGUGUCCAUGAGCGGGGCUCCCGUGGAUGGCUGGAUCCUGUCGGCGGCGUCGAUAGCAUCCACGAGCGCGAGCACCCCACAUCCGGCAACUUAGAAAUAUUAAGUCUACUUUUUUUCUAUGAUGAAGUUCAGUUCAUCUACUUGCCGAUUGUAAGUCCAAUUACAUAUGUUUUUCCAUGUUCUUCAUACAGUAUGAGAAGAUUUGUAGAUGCACAACAGAGUUUGCAGACUGCCAUGUUAAACAAUGUCAACAGUUCUGGUUCUCUAGAUUGGUCUUGGUACAGGAUACAUCUUAAGCUUGGUCUUGGUACAGGAUACAUCUUAAGCUGGAGUUCGUCGCUAAGCAGAUGGAGAUGUGUGUAUGUAUACAUGUGUUCUGGAGAUAGGAGAACUUAUCUGGUGGGCUGGGGGAGAAGGCAGAACCUCUGGGUGCAUGAUGGAAAAAAUUGCAAGUUCUUGUUUGGAUGUUCAGCAUACCCUUCUCUCAUUUCAUUUAUGUUCAGGAUAGCAGAUGAGGAUGUUUGUGCCUGA
rnacentral:rRNA from 1 species